AGAGUUUGAUCCUGGCUCAGGAUGAACGCUAGCGAUAGGCCUAACACAUGCAAGUCGAGGGGCAGCAUAUUUGUAGCUUGCUACAGAUGAUGGCGACCGGCGGAUGGGUGAGUAACGCGUAUGCAACCUACCUUAUACAAAUGGAUAGCCCGGCGAAAGUCGGAUUAAUACAUUAUAUAAUUUUGGAUUCGCAUGAAUUUAAAAUGAAAGAUUAAUUGGUGUAAGAUGGGCAUGCGUUCCAUUAGCUAGUUGGUAAGGUAAUGGCUUACCAAGGCAACGAUGGAUAGGGGAACUGAGAGGUUUAUCCCCCACACUGGAACUGAGACACGGACCAGACUCCUACGGGAGGCAGCAGUGAGGAAUAUUGGUCAAUGGGCGCGAGCCUGAACCAGCCAAGUCGCGUGAAGGAAGACAGCCUUAUGGGUUUUAAACUUCUUUUAUAAGGGAAUAAAGGUUUCUACGUGUAGAGAUUUGCAUGUACCUUAUGAAUAAGCAUCGGCUAACUCCGUGCCAGCAGCCGCGGUAAUACGGAGGAUGCGAGCGUUAUCCGGAUUUAUUGGGUUUAAAGGGUGCGCAGGCGGGCUUUUAAGUCAGCGGUCAAAUCUACAGGCUCAACCUGUAUUCGCCGUUGAAACUGCAAGUCUUGAGUAUAUAUGAAGUAGGCGGAAUUCGUUGUGUAGCGGUGAAAUGCAUAGAUAUAACGAGGAACUCCAAUUGCGUAGGCAGCUUACUAAUCUAUAACUGACGCUCAUGCACGAAAGUGUGGGUAUCGAACAGGAUUAGAUACCCUGGUAGUCCACACCGUAAACUAUGAUUACUCGUUAUUUGCGAUAUGAUUGUAAGUGACCAAGCGAAAGCGAUAAGUAAUCCACCUGGGGAGUACGUCGGCAACGAUGAAACUCAAAGGAAUUGACGGGGGCCCGCACAAGCGGAGGAACAUGUGGUUUAAUUCGAUGAUACGCGAGGAACCUUACCCGGGCUUGAAAUGUACCUGACCGAUUUGGAGACAGAUCUUCUAGCAAUAGCAGGUAUGUAGGUGCUGCAUGGUUGUCGUCAGCUCGUGCCGUGAGGUGUCGGCUUAAGUGCCAUAACGAGCGCAACCCUCAUCAUUAGUUACUAACAGGUUAAGCUGAGGACUCUAGUGAGACUGCCAUCGUAAGAUGUGAGGAAGGUGGGGAUGAUGUCAAAUCAGCACGGCCCUUACGUCCGGGGCUACACACGUGUUACAAUGGGUGUUACAGUGGGCAGCUACCUGGUGACAGGAUGCUAAUCUCUCAAAGGCACUCCCAGUUCGGAUUGGAGUCUGCAACUCGACUCUAUGAAGCUGGAUUCGCUAGUAAUCGCACAUCAGCCAUGGUGCGGUGAAUACGUUCCCGGGCCUUGUACACACCGCCCGUCAAGCCAUGGAAGCUGGGGGUAUCUGAAGUACGUAACCGUUCAGGAGCGUCCUAGGGUAAAACUGGUAACUGGGGCUAAGUCGUAACAAGGUAACC
rnacentral:rRNA from 1 species